rnacentral:lncRNA from 1 species
GUCCCAUGCCUUUAUUCUCUGCUGGCCUAGAGAUGCUAGUUGUGGAGAGAGAAAUGCUUCCACCAGGAGACGUAACAAUGAGUCCAUUGAACAGAAAGUUAAGACUGUCAUCCAACCACCUUGGGCUCCUCAUCCUCUGAAUCCACAGCCACAGAAGGGAGGUAAGGUGCUGGCUGAGGUGAUUGAUCCUGACUGCACAGAGGAAAUUGGACUAUUCCUCCACAAUGGAGACAGAAAAUUUGUGUAGACGUUGGAGAAUUCAAAGAAUCCCUGAGAAGCCUGGAGAACUGAGCUCAGAAAAUGGAGCAAGAAUAAGAAGGACACUACGUAGCCAGAACCACAGCCAGAGCAAAGACAUGGAACUAGAACCCUGACCACACGAAGCUGGGGCUGCUGCUAAGAUGCUCUCAUUGGCCCUGUGGAUACUGCUGACCCAGAAAAGUUGAUGCUGUUGUUGCUUCUGCUACACCUCUCCAAUCUCAUUUUCCAUUGUGCUGAGAGUCACUAGAUUACUUGAUUUGAAGUGAAUGAAUCUAAUUAGCCAAAAUUAGAUCUAAUUAGCUGAAGUGGAAACUGAGGAAAUAAAUAUCUGGGGUUUUCAGCCUUUAUAUUAGGAAGCAGGCUCUGCCUACAACCAGGACAGAGGAACUUCAGAAAUCACUAAGCGAUUUCAGAUUUGGUCAGAUCCAAACAGAAAGGGGGCGUGGAGAAAAGGAGGGGAGGAGAAGGGAGAAGGAUGAGGAAGGAAAGAAGGAAAAAUGCAUGCCUAGAAGUAUAGGAAUACCUGGUUGGGUGGAGCAGAGACCACACUGCUGAGUAGAAAUCGUUCACUAACAUACUUGAGAUGAUUGCUUUGCAGGAAUCUUGAAGAGCAAAUACAAAGGACCUUGAAGAGCAAAUACAAAGGAAUGAGAUUGGCACAUUUAAAUAACAGGAAAACAGCAUGGCCACUGUGGCUGGAGGAAAGGGCUCUUCUUUGAUGGGUGAUGUGGGUGCUGAGAUAGAAAGGAUCCUGAGACUAUUCAGAGUCUUGUAUGCCACAGGAGGGACUUUGGAUUUUAUUUAAGGGAAGAUAUUGAAAUAUGUUGUGGUUUUCUUGUUUUUUAUGUUUUUGUUUGUCUUAAUUACUUUUUGUAGGAGAAUGGUUUAAAAUGAUUCAGUUUUAAAAUAUCACUCUAUAAGCUUUGUGAAAAUGGACUACUGGGAGACAAGAGCGGAUAGAGG